rnacentral:rRNA from 1 species
UCGGGAAUUUUGGGCAAUGGGCGAAAGCCUGACCCAGCAACGCCGCGUGAGGGAUGAAGUAUUUCGGUAUGUAAACCUCGAAAGAAUGGGAAGAAUAAAUGACGGUACCAUUUAUAAGCUCCGGCUAACUACGUGCCAGCAGCCGCGGUAAUACGUAGGGAGCAAGCGUUGUUCGGAUUUACUGGGCGUAAAGGGCGCGUAGGCGGCGCGGUAAGUCACUUGUGAAAUCUCUGAGCUUAACUCGGAACGGCCAAGUGAUACUGCUGUGCUAGAGUGCGGAAGAGGCAACCGGAAUUCUUGGUGUAGCGGUGAAAUGCGUAGAUAUCAAGAGGAACACCUGAGGCGAAGGCGGGUUGCUGGGCCGACACUGACGCUGAUGCGCGAAAGCCAGGGGAGCAAAC